CCUACGGGUGGCAGCAGUGAGGAAUAUUGGUCAAUGGGCGAGAGCCUGAACCAGCCAAGUCGCGUGAGGGAGUACUGCCCUAUGGGUUGUAAACCUCUUUUGUCGGGGAGCAAAAGCCGGACGUGUCCGGCUGUGAGAGUACCCGAAGAAAAAGCAUCGGCUAACUCCGUGCCAGCAGCCGCGGUAAUACGGAGGAUGCGAGCGUUAUCCGGAUUUAUUGGGUUUAAAGGGUGCGCAGGCGGGUUUUUACGUCAGCGGUAAAAUCGUGGGGAUCAACCCCAUGCAGCCGGGGUAACUGGGGGUGUGGAGGGUGCGAGAGGUAUGCGGAAUGGGUGGUGUGGCGGUGAAAUGCAUGGA
rnacentral:rRNA from 1 species